rnacentral:piRNA from 1 species
GGCAGAGAAGGAGGCCAAGUUGGCUGC